ACGGAGGGUGCAAGCGUUAUCCGGAUUUAUUGGGUUUAAAGGGUGCGUAGGCGGCUUUUUAAGUCAGUGGUGAAAUCCUGCAGCUCAACUGUAGAACAGCCAUUGAAACUGAAGAGCUUGAGUAAUCUUGAGGUAGGCGGAAUGUGUAGUGUAGCGGUGAAAUGCUUAGAUAUUACACAGAACACCGAUUGCGAAGGCAGCUUACUAAGGAUUUACUGACGCUGAUGCACGAAAGCGUGGGGAUCAAACAG
rnacentral:rRNA from 1 species